AGGCGGCAUGAGGUUGAGCGGCUGAGAUUAUACGGCCUUGGGAACUUGAUCUGGAUAAUACCAGCGAAAGGAACAUGCUCUGAUCCCCCC
rnacentral:ncRNA from 12 species